GUAACAAGGUCUUCGUAGGUGAACCUGCGGAGGGAUCAUUACCGAGUUAGGGUCCUCACAGGCCCGACCUCCCAACCCAUUGUUUAUGAUACUCAGUGUUGCUUCGGCAGGCCUGGUCUUUGACCUGCCGGAGGGCCGUAACACGCCCCCCGGAGAGCGCCUGCCGACGGCCCCAACUUCAAAAUUCUUAACUAAACAUGUCUUUGUCUAAGUAAAGUCUUUAAUAAAAGCAAAACUUUCAACAACGGAUCUCUUGGUUCUGGCAUCGAUGAAGAACGCAGCGAAAUGCGAUAAGUAAUGCGAAUUGCAGAAUUCUCGUGAGUCAUCGAAUCUUUGAACGCACAUUGCGCCCUUUGGUAUUCCGAAGGGCAUGCCUGUUCGAGCGUCAUUUUCACCCCUCAAGCCCCCGGCUUGGUGUUGGACGGUUUGGUCCCGGGACCCCCCUGGACCCCUCCCAAAGACAAUGACGGCGGGCUGUCGCACCCCCGGUACACUGAGCAUCUUCACGGAGCACGUACCGGUCUUCAGGGGCGACGGCACCCGGUCUCACACCUAUAUCUUUCAAGGUUGACCUCGGAUCAGGUAGGAAUACCCGCUGAACUUAAGCAUAUC
rnacentral:misc_RNA from 1 species